rnacentral:lncRNA from 1 species
GUGCCCCCACAGCCUUGUCAGGAAUAGGAGAAAAACCUCAUCCUGACAUAAGCAAAGUCAAAGAUCCGAUUCUUUUGGACCGAAUGGGGGGAGAGGCCCUCGCAAUGACCUUUAUGUGCCCCCACGGCCCUGUUGGGAACAGAGGGAGAACCUCAUCCUGAUGAUGAUAAAAACCCGAUCAUCCAACAUGAUCGGAUAAAUGGAAAAGUCCCCUCAACGGCACCUCUACACCUCUACGCGACCCUGCGAAAAGCAAGAGGAGGACCCUCACU